rnacentral:rRNA from 1 species
AUUGAACGCUGGCGGCAUGCCUUACACAUGCAAGUCGAACGGCAGCACGGGAGCAAUCCUGGUGGCGAGUGGCGAACGGGUGAGUAAAGUAUCGGAACGUGCCCAGUCGUGGGGGAUAACGUAGCGAAAGUUACGCUAAUACCGCAUACGACCUAUGGAUGAAAGCGGGGGAUCGCAAGACCUCGCGCGAGUGGAGCGGCCGAUAUCGGAUUAGGUUGUUGGUGGGGUAAAGGCUCACCAAGCCGACGAUCUGUAGCUGGUCUGAGAGGACGACCAGCCAGACUGGGACUGGGACACGGCCCAGACUCCUACGGGAGGCAGCAGUGGGGAAUUUUGGACAAUGGGCGCAAGCCUGAUCCAGCCAUGCCGCGUGCAGGAUGAAGGCCUUCGGGUUGUAAACUGCUUUUGUACGGAACGAAAAGGUUUGACUUAAUACGUUGGACUCAUGACGGUACCGUAAGAAUAAGCACCGGCUAACUACGUGCCAGCAGCCGCCGUAA